AUUGAACGCUGGCGGCAGGCCUAACACAUGCAAGUCGAGCGGAUGAAGGGAGCUUGCUCCUGGAUUCAGCGGCGGACGGGUGAGUAAUGCCUAGGAAGCUGCCUGGUAGUGGGGGAUAACGUCCGGAAACGGGCGCUAAUCCCGCAUACGUCCUUAUGUAGAAAGUGGUGGAUCUUCGGACCUCACGCUAUCAGAUGAGCCUAGGUCGGAUUAGCUAGUUGGUGUGGUAAAGGCCUACCAAGGCGACGAUCCGUAACUGGCCUGAGAGGAUGAUCAGUCACACUGGAACUGAGACACGGUCCAGACUCCUACGGGAGGCAGCAGUAGGGAAUAUUGGACAAUGGGCGAAAGCCUGAUCGAGCAACGCCGCGUGAGUGAAGAAGGUCUUCGGAUUGUAAAGCACUUUAAGUUGGGAGGAAGGGAAGUAAGUGAAUCCCUGGAUGUUUUGACGUUACCAACAGAGUAAGCACCGGCUAACUUCGUG
rnacentral:rRNA from 1 species